AGACGUCUACAUUAGAUACCCGCGUAGUCCCAGCCCUAAACGAUGCGCGUUAGGUGUAUCGGUGACCACGAGUCACCGAGGUGCCGAAGGGAAACCGUGAAACGUGCCGCCUGGGAAGUACGGUCACAAGGCUGAAACUUAAAGGAAUUGGCGGGGAGCACCACAACGGGUGGAGCCUGCGGUUUAAUUGGACUCAACGCCGGGAAGCUCACCGGAUAAGACAGCGGAAUGAUUGCCGGGCUGAAGACCCUGCAUGACCAGCUG
rnacentral:rRNA from 1 species